rnacentral:rRNA from 1 species
UAUACAGCGAAACUGCGAAUGGCUCAUUAUAUAAGUUAUCGUUUAUUUGAUAGUACCUUACUACUUGGAUAACCGUGGUAAUUCUAGAGCUAAUACAUGCUGAAAAUCCCGACUUCGGAAGGGAUGUAUUUAUUAGAUUAAAAACCAAUGCCCUCUGGGCUCUCUGGUGAUUCAUAAUAACUUCUCGAAUCGCAUGGCCUUGCGCCGGCGAUGGUUCAUUCAAAUUUCUUCCCUAUCAACUUUCGAUGUUUGGGUAGUGGCCAAACAUGGUUGCAACGGGUAACGGAGGGUUAGGGCUCGACCCCGGAGAAGGAGCCUGAGAAACGGCUACUACAUCCAAGGAAGGCAGCAGGCGCGCAAAUUACCCAAUCCCGAUUCGGGGAGGUAGUGACAAUAAAUACUGAUACAGGGCUCUUUUGGGUCUUGUAAUUGGAAUGAGUACAAUUUAAAUCCCUUAACGAGGAACAAUUGGAGGGCAAGUCUGGUGCCAGCAGCCGCGGUAAUUCCAGCUCCAAUAGCGUAUAUUAAAGUUGUUGUGGUUAAAAAGCUCGUAGUUGAACCUUGGGCCUGGCUGGCCGGUCCGCCUCACCGCGUGUACUGGUCCGGCCGGGUCUUUCCCUCUGUGGAACCCCAUGCCCUUCACUGGGUGUGGCGGGGAAACAGGACUUUUACUUUGAAAAAAUUAGAGUGCUCCAGGCAGGCCUAUGCUCGAAUACAUUAGCAUGGAAUAAUGAAAUAGGACGUGCGGUUCUAUUUUGUUGGUUUCUAGGACCGCCGUAAUGAUUAAUAGGGACAGUCGGGGGCAUCAGUAUUCAAUUGUCAGAGGUGAAAUUCUUGGAUUUAUUGAAGACUAACUACUGCGAAAGCAUUUGCCAAGGAUGUUUUCAUUAAUCAGGAACGAAAGUUAGGGGAUCGAAGACGAUCAGAUACCGUCGUAGUCUUAACCAUAAACUAUGCCGACUAGGGAUCGGACGAUGUUAUUUUUUGACUCGUUCGGCACCUUACGAGAAAUCAAAGUGCU